CCGUAGUUAGAUAUCAAUUGGUUUGAAAGCAACCUGCAAAGGAUGCAACUUAAACCUUUAACUUGUUACCUUGAGAAAAUGGAGGCGCCUAAGGCACGCGAUAUGUGUGAACUAUCUAGCAUGGAAUAGCACAUUUAAACUGUCAAUAAACAUGCCGAAUGUUUGUUGAUUAGGAUGAUUGAUAAGGGCAGUCGGGGACACUUGUACUUGCUGGAGAGAGGUGAAAUUCUGAGACCCGGCAAAGACACUCAAAUGCGAAAGCUUUUGUCCAGAAUGUUCCUGUUAAUCAAGGACUAAAGUUGGGGGAUCGAAGGCGAUUGGAUACCGUCGUAGUCCCAACCGUAAACCAUGCCGACUGAUCGUUGGUUAGAAGUCUGUAUUCUUUUCAGCGUUCGAAAGAAAUUGAAGUUUUUGGGCCCUGGGGGGAGUAUGGUUGCAAGACUGAAACUUAAAGGAAUUGACGGAAGAGCACCACCAGGAGUGGAGCUUGCGGCUUAAUUCGACUCAACGCGUGAAAUUUUACCAGGUCCGGACAUAGUUAUGAUUGACAAACUAAAAGAUUUUUCUAAAUUCUAUGGGUGGUGGUGCAUGGCCGUUCUUAGUCGGUGAGGUGACUUGUCUGGUUUAUUCCGAUAACGGACGAGACCUUGACCUUUAAUUCUCGACUGUUAUCUUAAAUGGAAGAGUCUUAAAGGGACUCAAUGUUCCAAACAUUGGGAAGAUCAAGGCAAUAACAGGUCUGUGAUGCCCUUAGAUAACCUGGGCUGCACGUGUGCUACAAUAACAUGCACAACGAGUACCAAUAUCGAAACGAUGUUGUGAAUCUUCAAAGCGUGUUAAGGU
rnacentral:rRNA from 1 species